GUGGGGAAUAUUGGGCAAUGGGCGAAAGCCUGACCCAGCAACGCCGCGUGAAGGAAGAAGGUCUUCGGAUCGUAAACUUCUAUCCUUGGUGAAGAUAAUGACGGUAGCCGAGAAGGAAGCCCCGGCUAACUACGUGCCAGCAGCCGCGGUAAUACGUAGGGGGCAAGCGUUGUCCGGAAUGAUUGGGCGUACAGGGCGCGUAGGCGGCCCGGUAAGUCGGACGUGAAAGUCCUGCUUUUAAGGUGGGAAUUGCUUUGGAUACUGUCGGGCUUGAGUGCAGGAGAAGUAAGCGGAAUUCCCGGUGUAGCGGUGAAAUGCGUAGAGAUCGGGAGGAACACCAGUGGCGAAGGCGGCUUACUGGACUGUAACUGACGCUGAGGCGCGAAAGUGUGGGGAGCAAACAGGAUUAGAAACCCCAGUAGUCC
rnacentral:rRNA from 1 species